GGAGGUUACAAGAGAGCUGGAGAGCAGGAGAUCUUGGGAAGAGUGAAGAGGGCAGUUUGGGUGACAUUUUGACAUGAGGUGGGUGAUGUAGGUUGGGGCGGAGUUGUAGAUGGCUUUGUAGGUUAUUGUUAGAAUUGUAGGUUUGAUAGGUU